rnacentral:rRNA from 1 species
CAGCAGCCGCGGUAAAACGUAGGGUGCGAGCGUUAAUCGGAAUUACUGGGCGUAAAGCGUGCGCAGGCGGUUUGUUAAGACAGAUGUGAAAUCCCCGGGCUCAACCUGGGAACUGCAUUUGUGACUGGCAAGCUAGAGUCUGGCAGAGGGGGGUGGAAUUCCGCGUGUAGCAGUGAAAUGCGUAGAUAUGCGGAGGAACACCGAUGGCGAAGGCAGCCCCCUGGGCCAACACUGACACUCAUGCACGAAAGCGUGGGGAGCAAACAGGAUUAGAUACCCCGGUAGUCCCUGUCUCUUAUAC